rnacentral:rRNA from 1 species
GAUGAACGCUGGCGGCGUGCCUAAUACAUGCAAGUCGAGCGAACAGGCGAGGAGCUUGCUCCUCUGACGUUAGCGGCGGACGGGUGAGUAACACGUGGAUAACCUACCUAUAAGACUGGGAUAACUUCGGGAAACCGGAGCUAAUACCGGAUAAUAUAUUGAACCGCAUGGUUCAAUAGUGAAAGACGGUUUUGCUGUCACUUAUAGAUGGAUCCGCGCCGCAUUAGCUAGUUGGUAAGGUAACGGCUUACCAAGGCAACGAUGUGUAGCCGACCUGAGAGGGUGAUCGGCCACACUGGAACUGAGACACGGUCCAGACUCCUACGGGAGGCAGCAGUAGGGAAUCUUCCGCAAUGGGCGAAAGCUUGACGGAGCAACGCCGCGUGAGUGAUGAAGGUCUUCGGAUCGUAAAACUCUGUUAUUAGGGAAGAACAAAUGUGUAAGUAACUAUGCACGUCUUGACGGUACCUAAUCAGAAAGCCACGGCUAACUACGUG